CCUACGGGCGGCUGCAGUGGGGAAUAUUGCACAAUGGGGGAAACCCUGAUGCAGCGACGCCGCGUGAGUGAAGAAGUAUUUCGGUACGUAAAGCUCUAUCAGCAGGGAAGAAAAUGACGGUACCUGACUAAGAAGCCCCGGCUAACUACGUGCCAGCAGCCGCGGUAAUACGUAGGGGGCAAGCGUUAGCCGGAUUUACUGGGUGUAAAGGGAGCGUAGACGGCAGCGCAAGUCGGGAGUGAAAUCCCAUGGCUUAACCAUGGAACUGCUUUGGAAACUGUGCAGCUAGAGUGCAGGAGAGGUAAGCGGAAUUCCUAGUGUAGCGGUGAAAUGCGUAGAUAUUAGGAGGAACACCAGUGGCGAAGGCGGCUUACUGGACUGUAACUGACGUUGAGGCUCGAAAGCGUGGGGAGCAAACAGGAUUAGAUACCCCAGUAGUC
rnacentral:rRNA from 1 species